rnacentral:tRNA from 1 species
CCGCCCUUAGCUCAGUUGGUUAGAGCGCCAAGCUUAUACCUUGGUGGCCCCUGGUUCGAGUCCAGGAGGGCGGA